CACUCACACGCAUGUGGUGGAUUGGCCUCGCACCAACACAUGCAACUAUUUAAGAGUCGUUGCCAUUUGCACUGGAGUGAGCUGAUACAGUACUGCUCAAUGGGAACCCUUUCCUAGAAAUCCUGAAGCGAGCUCUCUUCUCAGAAGGCCUCUGGACUUUUGUCUAUCCGGAUGCAUACUCAACAAUGAACUCGCUUGUGCUGAUCUGAGGAGUGUGUGACUUCCCUCGAAGCAAAAGUGACGCAAGGAUUUCUGUGUGGAAGGGGCUGCACAGUUGAACUUACCGAUGACGACGAACUGAGAGUCGGGUGUGAACGAGGCUUCCAGAGUGACCCCUUUAUUGUUGUUGUAUCCCUGCAGGUAGAGAAACACAACACUUAGUGACGCUGAUCACUUCGGAGUCUGUAAAGUACAACCACAAUAAUGAACUGAUUGGAAUUGUUCCACCAGUGGCUCUCUGACAGCUUGUUUUCAUCCAUCUCACC